UACAGAGGGUGCAAGCGUUAAUCGGAUUUACUGGGCGUAAAGCGCGCGUAGGUGGCCAAUUAAGUCAAAUGUGAAAUCCCCGAGCAUAACUUGGGAAUUGCAUUCGAUACUGGUUGGCUAGAGUAUGGGAGAGGAUGGUAGAAUUCCAGGUGUAGCGGUGAAAUGCGUAGAGAUCUGGAGGAAUACCGAUGGCGAAGGCAGCCAUCUGGCCUAAUACUGACACUGAGGUGCGAAAGCAUGGGGAGCAAACAGG
rnacentral:rRNA from 1 species